UCCAAACUGUCAGAAAAAAAAGUUAGAAGAAAGGAAGGGUAAACAUUACUUGGCUUUUCUCUUAUUUUCAACCUUAUUUCAUGUUUUCCCUCUUCUUCACAUGCACAAAAUGCAGACCUUAAGCUGCCAUUGAGGGCUGUAAACCUUGGCAACUGGCUGGUCACUGAAGGAUGGAUGAAACCUUCUCGUUUUGAUGGAAUAAUUAACAAAUAUCUUUUGGAUGGAACUCAAGUUCAGUUCUCUCAACGAAGCUAAACAAGUAUCUGUGCGCUGAAAACGGUGGUGGAACGGUUGUAGUAGCCAACCGUCCCUCACCUUCUGAUUGGGAAACCUUCAGUUGUGGAGGUCAAUGAGUCAUAUUUCAACUUGAGAGUGUCUCACAAGCAUUUGUGGGAGUAGGGAGUGGAGGUGUAGAAGCUGUUUCAAAUACACCCACCGGUUUAGAGACAUUUCAGAUUGUAAGGAAAGAUGAUGAUCUGAGUCGAGUUCGGUUCCAAGCAUCAAUGGCUUGUUCCUACAGGCACAAUCGGAGACGCUGGUAACUGCAGAUUAUGCAGGGUCCAGUUGGGACGACAGCGAUCCUCUGUGUUCAAAA